rnacentral:rRNA from 1 species
AGAGUUUGAUCCUGGCUCAGGACGAACGCUGGCGGCGCGCCUAACACAUGCAAGUCGAACGAGCGAGAGAGAGCUUGCUUUCUCAAGCGAGUGGCGAACGGGUGAGUAACGCGUGAGGAACCUGCCUCAAAGAGGGGGACAACAGUUGGAAACGACUGCUAAUACCGCAUAAGCCCACGACCCGGCAUCGGGUAGAGGGAAAAGGAGCAAUCCGCUUUGAGAUGGCCUCGCGUCCGAUUAGCUAGUUGGUGAGGUAAUGGCCCACCAAGGCGACGAUCGGUAGCCGGACUGAGAGGUUGAACGGCCACAUUGGGACUGAGACACGGCCCAGACUCCUACGGGAGGCAGCAGUGGGGAAUAUUGCACAAUGGGGGAAACCCUGAUGCAGCGACGCCGCGUGGAGGAAGAAGGUCUUCGGAUUGUAAACUCCUGUUGUUGAGGAAGAUAAUGACGGUACUCAACAAGGAAGUGACGGCUAACUACGUGCCAGCAGCCGCGGUAAAACGUAGGUCACAAGCGUUGUCCGGAAUUACUGGGUGUAAAGGGAGCGCAGGCGGGAAGACAAGUUGGAAGUGAAAUCCAUGGGCUCAACCCAUGAACUGCUUUCAAAACUGUUUUUCUUGAGUAGUGCAGAGGUAGGCGGAAUUCCCGGUGUAGCGGUGGAAUGCGUAGAUAUCGGGAGGAACACCAGUGGCGAAGGCGGCCUACUGGGCACCAACUGACGCUGAGGCUCGAAAGUGUGGGUAGCAAACAGGAUUAGAUACCCUGGUAGUCCACACUGUAAACGAUGAUUACUAGGUGUUGGAGGAUUGACCCCUUCAGUGCCGCAGUUAACACAAUAAGUAAUCCACCUGGGGAGUACGACCGCAAGGUUGAAACUCAAAGGAAU